rnacentral:rRNA from 1 species
UACGGGGGGAGCAAGCGUUGUUCGGAUUUACUGGGCGUAAAGGGCGCGUAGGCGGCGUAACAAGUCACUUGUGAAAUCUCCGGGCUUAACUCGGAACGGUCAAGUGAUACUGUCGGACUAGAGUACAGAAGGGGCAACUGGAAUUCUCGGUGUAGCGGUGAAAUGCGUAGAUAUCGAGAGGAACACCUGCGGCGAAGGCGGGUUGCUGGGCUGAUACUGACGCUGAGGCGCGAAAGCUAGGGUAGCAAACGGG